rnacentral:rRNA from 1 species
CCCUAUGGGGCGCAGCAGGCUGAGGCAGGGGAGAAGGCGGCGGAGGUCCGACGCAGAUGACGUGAGUCAGGCGACGUUUUGCACCUGUCACAAGCAGUUCGGCGGGCCGAGCCUGAACGAGUUGCGUGAGGAAAACAGCCGCUUGAAGCGGUUUACGCCGGAUCUCGGUCUGGACCGGCGGAUCCCAUAGGAGAUCGUGUCAAGAAAGCGCUGAUGCCGCGUGCCCGCAGGGAGCUUACGCGCUGGGCGGAACGGACGUGGAAGGUGAGCGGGCGGCAGCCCAGGCCGCUGUAUGGCUUAGUUCCUCAAACUCCACCACAGAAGACUUGUCGCAAACCCCAGGAGGGACAAGUCGGGCUAUCCCGGAUGCCACCCCAUGGCCGCAUGUACAUGGAAGCUAUAGCUUGGCGGGGGGGC